CCCAGCGUGCACUGGGUUCUUGCAGGUCUUUAGCACUUCUGCAAACCUCGGCGGCGAAAAAGGCAGCUGGAGGAAGCGCUUUGGAAGCAAAACUAACAGGAACUUUCAGGGUGGCGAGGGAGAAGAGAUGUAAACACAAAUAACCAGGCAAUAAAAGCAGAAGGAAAUCUGACCUAAGAUAGCCCACAAGGACAAUAUUAUGAUGGGGAACAGAAGAGUGAAGAAGAAUGAAGGUGUUCUGCUAUAGCUGCCAUGUAAAGGGUGGGUCCUAAUCCCAUUUGAGUGGGGUCCUAUAAAAGAGGAGAACAGACACGGAGAAUUAGAGGAAGAAUGGCCGUGUGAUGACAGAGGCAGGUGCAGCUGCAAGUCAAGGAAGCUAGGAGGCCUGCAUGAGACAGUUCUUCUCUCAGAGCCCUCAGAAGGAAUCAGCAUGGCUGAUACCCUGAUUUGGACUUCUAAGCCUCCAAAACUGUGAGACAAUAUAUUUCUGUUCUUUAAAACCACCCAGUUUGUAGCAUUUUGUUAUGACAGCCCCAGGAAACUAAGACACUAUCUGAAAUCAUGUGUUGUAUUUAUUUGUUUAUUCAUGACCUUUCCCCCCAACCAGAGUGCAAGCUCCAUGGGGCUAAAGACUUUGUCUGACUGGAUCCCAAGUACCCUAUGUUGUAGUAGGUGCUAAACUGAUGUUUUUUGAAUGAAUAAAAAAGCAUGCCAAUGUUCUUUCAUUUGAAGUAGAUAAAAGGGAAGAAGUCAGGUUUUCUGUGGAGAUUCUAAAGUGGAGGCCAUUUCUAGGGGUCACUGGGGUGGGCGGAGGCGGGUCAAGGUGGGCUGUCUUCUAGGCAGUGAAAAUGCUCCUGGCCCGCGCCAGCCCCUCACUGGCCCGUCUUUUUGUUGGGUCUGACGCAGACCUCAAGGAAACAUAAUAUUUUUAAUAAAACCUCAGAGUCAAUAAAGGUGAAUGGUCUCGGGUGCCUCCUCUGCUGGCCCCAGCUGUUGACUUGAGAAGUCAAGAGGUUGGGGUGUUGCCCAAUUCCCGUGUAGUUUGGGGAGAUAUAAGCUAGAAGGGCCUGACUCAUUUUAUAUGGAAACAAAACAAAACGAAACAAAAUUCAGUGGGUCCUGGAAAGAUUCCACUGCCAGCCAGAAUCAAAGGUCCAUUCAGAGUGACAGAACUCCUCACAUUCGCCGCUAAUGAAAACCAAAUUCCUCAUUCCUCUGAGUGUUUCCAGGGGCUGCAAUGGAAGGGGUUGCCGUGGAGCAGUUGGUCACCCCUCCUGCUGCCAAGAGGGCCCUGCUGUGUUAAAAUAGUUUUAUGAUAAUAUGGGCCUCAUAUUUUUCUAAUUUCAGGCGUCGGUGAUUUAGGACUAAGUUGUUUUCACGGAGAAAGAAAUAGAACCUGUUUGAGGCAAAGCAAGACUGGGGCUUUGACAGAUACUCCCACCGUGAGUAUGUUUACGGUGGGCGACCUGCCUUGAAGAGGCCUGAGACCCGUCUCCAGAGCGCCCUCUUGAGUGGGGGAGGACAGGCUGGUGUCA